rnacentral:ncRNA from 1 species
GUAAAGGCGAUGAAUUAAAGUAGUACCUUGGAAAAUAAUGCAGAGAGUCAGCUGGUUGGUGAAAAGCUGAAGUAUGGAACAGGGGAACUCGUUAAGGAGCCGAUAAGCACACUUAUCCGUUUUACUUCGCGUUAAGAAGAAAUGAAGGGCUUUUUUCCUUAAGAAAAAAGAACUAAGGUGGUACCGCGUUGAACAACGUCCUUAGA